rnacentral:rRNA from 1 species
CCUACGGUCAGCAGCAGUGGGGAAUAUUGGACAAUGGGCGAAAGCCUGAUCCAGCCAUGCCGCGUGUGUGAAGAAGGCCUUCGGGUUGUAAAGCACUUUCAGUGGGGAAGAAAGCCUUGGGGCUAAUACCCUCGAGGAAGGACAUCACCCACAGAAGAAGCACCGGCUAACUCCGUGCCAGCAGCCGCGGUAAUACGGAGGGUGCGAGCGUUAAUCGGAAUUACUGGGCGUAAAGCGCGCGUAGGCGGUCUGAUAAGCCGGUUGUGAAAGCCCCGGGCUCAACCUGGGAACGGCAUCCGGAACUGUCAGGCUAGAGUGCAGGAGAGGAAGGUAGAAUUCCCGGUGUAGCGGUGAAAUGCGUAGAGAUCGGGAGGAAUACCAGUGGCGAAGGCGGCCUUCUGGACUGACACUGACGCUGAGGUGCGAAAGCGUGGGUAGCAAACAGGAUUAGAUACCCUAGUAGUC